rnacentral:misc_RNA from 1 species
UGGUUCUGGCAUCGAUGAAGAACGCAGCGAAAUGCGAUAAGUAGUGUGAAUUGCAGACUUUAGUGAAUCAUCGAAUCUUUGAACGCACAUUGCGCCCCUUGGUAUUCCAUUGGGCAUGCCUGUUCGAGCGUCAUCUACACCCCGCAAGCUUCGCUUGGUGUUGGGCGUCUGUUGCUGCCCCGUGCAACAACUCGCCUCAAAUCUAUUGGCAGCGGCUCGUUGACAGCUCUUUUGCGCAGCACUUCGCGCAUCUAGGGCUCGUCCACGGCCUGCGUCCACAAAGAUCUCUCCAGUUUGACCUCGAAUCAGGUAGGGAUACCCGCUGA